rnacentral:rRNA from 1 species
GAUGAACGCUGGCGGCGUGCCUAAUACAUGCAAGUCGAGCGAACAGACGAGGAGCUUGCUCCUUUGACGUUAGCGGCGGACGGGUGAGUAACACGUGGAUAACCUACCUAUAAGACUGGGAUAACUUCGGGAAACCGGAGCUAAUACCGGAUAACAUGUUGAACCGCAUGGUUCAACAGUGAAAGACGGUCUUGCUGUCACUUAUAGAUGGAUCCGCGCCACAUUAGCUAGUUGGUAAGGUAACGGCUUACCAAGGCAACGAUGCGUAGCCGACCUGAGAGGGUGAUCGGCCACACUGGAACUGAGACACGGUCCAGACUCCUACGGGAGGCAGCAGUAGGGAAUCUUCCGCAAUGGGCGAAAGCCUGACGGAGCAACGCCGCGUGAGUGAAGAAGGUCUUCGGAUCGUAAAACUCUGUUAUUAGGGAAGAACAAAUGUGUAAGUAACUAUGCACGUCUUGACGGUACCUAAUCAGAAAGCCACGGCUAACUACGUG